GACGAACGCUGGCGGCGUGCCUAAUACAUGCAAGUCGAGCGAAGUUUUUCUGGUGCUUGCACUAGAAAAACUUAGCGGCGAACGGGUGAGUAACACGUAAAGAACCUGCCUCAUAGACUGGGACAACUAUUGGAAACGAUAGCUAAUACCGGAUAACAGCAUUAACUGCAUGGUUGAUGUUUAAAAGUUGGUUUUGCUAACACUAUGAGAUGGCUUUGCGGUGCAUUAGCUAGUUGGUGGGGUAAAGGCCUACCAAGGCGACGAUGCAUAGCCGACCUGAGAGGGUGAUCGGCCACACUGGGACUGAGACACGGCCCAGACUCCUACGGGAGGCAGCAGUAGGGAAUCUUCCGCAAUGGGCGAAAACCUGACGGAGCAACGCCGCGUGAGUGAAGAAGGAUUUCGGUUCGUAAAGCUCUGUUGUUAGGGAAGAAGGAUUGUGUAGUAACUAUACACAGUAGAGACGGUACCUAACCAGAAAGCCACGGCUAACUACGUGCCAGCAGCCGCGGUAAUACGUAGGUGGCAAGCGUUGUCCGGAAUUAUUGGGCGUAAAGCGCGCGCAGGUGGUUUAAUAAGUCUGAUGUGAAAGCCCACGGCUCAACCGUGGAGGGUCAUUGGAAACUGUUAAACUUGAGUGCAGGAGAGAAAAGUGGAAUUCCUAGUGUAGCGGUGAAAUGCGUAGAGAUUAGGAGGAACACCAGUGGCGAAGGCGGCUUUUUGGCCUGUAACUGACACUGAGGCGCGAAAGCGUGGGGAGCAAACAGG
rnacentral:rRNA from 1 species